rnacentral:siRNA from 1 species
CACCACAGGCUAUCAGAAUUGG